AAAGAUGGCAAUGAAACGUAUCAUGGACUUCUUGCUGUGUAUGAUGUGAGAAGAUCCCCGCUUGUGUCCGUUUCACUGGUUGGAUUCAUCAGAGGACCUGGAGAAGGAGUGAAGCCGCUUGCGUUCGCCUUCCACAACAAAUUCAAGCAAGGACCGUUGCUUUCUGUGUGCUGGAGCAGUGGCUGGUGUU